AUUGAACGCUGGCGGCAUGCUUUACACAUGCAAGUCGAACGGUAACAGGCCGCAAGGUGCUGACGAGUGGCGAACGGGUGAGUAAUGCAUCGGAACGUGCCCAGUCGUGGGGGAUAACGCAGCGAAAGCUGUGCUAAUACCGCAUACGAUCUGUGGAUGAGAGCGGGGGACCGAAAGGCCUCGCGCGAUUGGAGCGGCCGAUGUCAGAUUAGGUAGUUGGUGGGGUAAAGGCUCACCAAGCCAACGAUCUGUAGCUGGUCUGAGAGGACGACCAGCCACACUGGGACUGAGACACGGCCCAGACUCCUACGGGAGGCAGCAGUGGGGAAUUUUGGACAAUGGGCGCAAGCCUGAUCCAGCAAUGCCGCGUGCAGGAAGAAGGCCUUCGGGUUGUAAACUGCUUUUGUACGGAGCGAAAAGGCUCUCUCUAAUACAGGGGGCUCAUGACGGUACCGUAAGAAUAAGCACCGGCUAACUACGUGCCAGCCGCCGCGGUAAAAC
rnacentral:rRNA from 1 species